rnacentral:lncRNA from 1 species
CAGACUGAGGGCGAAACAGCAGGCAGGACUGGGUGGAGACGUUCGGGGACGUGGCAACUGGAGUUUCUUCUCCGUAUAUUUCGGCAUUCAGUUCCUUUUUUUUUUUGUUUUAACUCAGGAAAAAAUCUCAAUUGCGUUUAGUAUUUUGAAAGCCACUUUAUUGCUUCCCGAGCCUCAGUCAUGUGUGGUGGGAGGCUGCUGUGGGUGGCACCUGGGGCGUCCACGGCCGCCAAGGCGGGAGGACGUCAGGCCCUGCUUGCUCCCACCCCUUCCAGGUGAGAGCUCCCGGGCACGCCCGUCGUUGGCUCUUCGUCCUCUUGGUGUUCUUCCCUGUUGCUUCAAAUCAGGUUCCUGUCUCAAAAAUCCGAAAAAGAAAUCCUCCCAAAUGACUCUGUGCCCGACGCUCCGUUAAGGCAUCGUGCUAGGCGUUCUCAAACUCGUGAAAUGACUACACUGCACAGGUUAACCUCAUUGCUACUCUUCCCCUUGCCUCCUAAUUCUCUGGUUAAACUUCCGCCCCCGAGGUUUCUAGAAAUCCCUGAGCUGGAAUGCGCUGCCUUCAUUAAGAGGGUGUUCUGCUUCCGUCUGCUCACAUUCAUCUAGUAAGCCCUCUCGUUAAAGAGGAGGCAGCACACCGAGGCCUGUCUAGAACUUCUUUCAUUUAACCAACAGUGAAUAUCUAAUCUACAAGAAACUGGAGCCGUGGCAGUUUAGGAGCCUGCCAAGGUUGCAUCCCUGGGAGCUUAUUUUCUAUUGUGGGAGACAGGAAAAGAACAAGUGAAUCAACUGUGAAAUUAAAUAAUUCAAACUUAAAGCUGUUGGAACUUUAAAUUAUUCUGAGCCUUGCGAAGAAUGUGGCGAUGGGGCCUGAGUCCCAUGGCAUACAGCUGCAAUGUCUGCCUUGUUUUUUCCUAUAAUCAGGAAGACCAAACAGAGACAGAGUUCUGGUUAAAUCACACAAGUCCCUGGCAUGAGACCAAGAAGUCACAGAGCCCAGGUCUUAGCCCUCAGAGUGUGAGAGAAGACAUGAAGGCAUCAGGGACACUGUGCGAGUGGGCACUGCUGCUUUCCACUGCUCUCCCUAGACUGCAGCCAGGAGGCUGCCUCUGCCCUGCCAGGCGCACACACCAAGAAAGGCCAUGUGGGCACACAGCAAGAUGGUGCCUGUCUGCAAACUAGGAAAAGAGCCCUCACCAGGAACUGAAACAGCUGGCACCUUGAUGUUGGACUUUCCAGCCUCCACAACUGUGAGAGGACUUGGAAGCUAAGGCCCAGAGAGGAGGAGAAACUUGAUCAAAGUCAAUCAGACAAUGCAGAAUCGAGAAAAGUACCUGGACCUCUAUGCCCAUGCUUCUAGCAGCCAGCCUCCUAAAAUACCUCUAGUUGAAGCCAAAGUUAGAAUCCUUCUACGAAACUACAGGAUUAAAAUGGAAUGGUUACAUGACCCAGGCUUGACCAAUCAGAUCAUCCAAACCCUUUGCCACAGUGAUUGGUCCAGGGAUACAUGCAUGAGCCAGCUCAGGUAAAUGAGACUCAAUUAUAAGAAUUUUGUUAGCGCAAUUGGGAAAAAGAAGUUUUCUUUCCAUGAGAACUAUCAGCUAUAAGAAUGUUGGAUGCUUCCAUCUGCUGGAGUCCAUGAAGAAGGUCCAUGAAAAUGAAGCCAGCACAACAACACAGAGCUAAGACAUACAAAGAGAUGGAGAUUAAAUUGAAUGGAACUUUUAAGCCCCUACAUGCCCUUGAAGCCAGAUAUCCCUGAACUUUUAAUUUAUAUUAGUUGAUAAAGUCCUUCUUUAGCUUAAGCCAAUUUGAAUUAGAGUAUUUUUCACUUGGGGUCCAAAAGAGCUCUCAAUACAAAAGUCUGACUGAGUGCAUGAUGUGCUGGUUUCAACCUCAAGGGAACAGGGAAAGGGAAAGAAAGAGGCAGAGGUUGUGAACAGGACAGUAGAAGGUGGUCAGGAGACAAAUAUCUGGACUCAACUUUGUCCCUACUGUGUGGCCUUGAAUAGUGAGUUAACCACUCCGAGCCUCAGUUUCCCCAUCUGGAAAAAAAAGUUAGUGGACAGUCACUAGUUCUCAGACAGAACUCUGUAGCAGCGAGAGGGUAAUGGGGAUUGAGAGUCCCAGACUUGCAUUCUGAGGGACUAGCUCUCCUCUUAUCUAUAUCAUAUACCAGGUUUUCUUGUAAGGUUUUGUUAGAAUGGGUCUCACUGUUAAAAUGGAUUAGCUGAUCAUUUCAGUUCUAUUUAUAUUAAAGUCUAAAUUGAAUCAAGGCUCAGCUGGGGCCCAGUAAGAAUGUAGUGCCUGGUUAAUAAUAUUUUCUACUCUAUGAUAGGAGUUGGCCAGAAGCCAAGGUCAAAAACUCAAUCCCUGGAGGGUUUAUUUGCUUUCUGCAGACAUAAAAAAUUGUUAAUAACAAUGAUCUGCAUCCCCAAUCUUGAGAGCUGUCUUAGAGAUGUGGGUCAUUGAUCACAGAAGGGGCUGGGAAAAGGAAUGUGGAUGAUUCCAAAUAGUCAUUAGCUCUGCCUUAAAUGCCAAUACAAACACUACUGCCAAUGCUCAAGGCAAGCAACCUCUUCAUAGCUAGAACACAGAGGGUGGUGUGCUUGAAGGCUUUUGUUUCUCCUCAAGACAGUGUAGAAAAAGCUGAGAAAACAAAGAGCACUUGUUUCACAAUUAACUGCACAACACCUGAUGUAUAUCCACAGUCCUCUAAAUUAAUAUGGAUUCGCUUUUCUUUAUAAAGACAACAUACACAUUGUAGUGGAAAUCGGAUGGGAGGAUAAUUUUUAUGAAAGCAUAUAACAGUAUUUUUAUAAAAUAUAAAUUAUCAUUACAGUAAAAUAUAUUAACUUCAAGGCAAGUUUUGACACUGUAUGCAAGUUUAAAGUAUUUCAAAUUUUUAAAAAGUGUAUCUUAACAAAUAAAUUUUAGCACCAAUUGCCAGAAUUGUUGUCCACCACUAUAGUCAAAACAAUUUUCUUUUCUUUAUUUCAACUAAAAAUUGUGAAUGGGACUAAAGUCUUUAUGCAAAUAUAUACUCCAAUAAUAAUAUUAAUCUUGCCAACAGUAGCUGAAUAUUUAAUUAACUUUAACAAACAUGUUGAAAGAUAAUAAACUAAAAAAACUAUUUUUCCUUAUAGUCUCUGUAUAACUAGGUGCUUUCUCAUUAGAAAGCUUAUUUUUUCAAAAGUAUAUAUAACAUAGGUAAUUUAUAUUAAUAAAAAAUAAAAAGUUGCAAAUUUCUUGAGGUGUAAUUUCUCAUGUUGAUUAACUUCUGAUCUCUAUCAUUUUGCUUACAUGUACCAUAGAUACACAAAAACCAGAUGGGGGGCAGGGUAAUCAAUCUUAGGAGAGGGCAAUAGUUAAGUCAGACUAGGCAGAGUCAAGACAAGAGGCAGGCAGAGGGUUAGUUGAGGGCAAGUUAUGAAUGCCUCAGAACACAUCUCAGGAUUUGGAAACAAGCAGUAGUCUGGUCAAAUCCAAACUGGGAAACACAGAUGGCG